rnacentral:rRNA from 1 species
GUUGAACGCUGGCGGCGUGCCUAAUACAUGCAAGUCGAGCGAACAGACGAGGAGCUUGCUCCUCUGACGUUAGCGGCGGACGGGUGAGUAACACGUGGAUAACCUACCUAUAAGACUGGGAUAACUUCGGGAAACCGGAGCUAAUACCGGAUAAUAUAUUGAACCGCAUGGUUCAAUAGUGAAAGACGGUUUUGCUGUCACUUAUAGAUGGAUCCGCGCCGCAUUAGCUAGUUGGUAAGGUAACGGCUUACCAAGGCAACGAUGCGUAGCCGACCUGAGAGGGUGAUCGGCCACACUGGAACUGAGACACGGUCCAGACUCCUACGGGAGGCAGCAGUAGGGAAUCUUCCGCAAAGGGCGAAAGCCUGACGGAGCAACGCCGCGUGAGUGAUGAAGGUCUUCGGAUCGUAAAACUCUGUUAUUAGGGAAGAACAAAUGUGUAAGUAACUAUGCACGCCUUGACGGUACCUAAUCAGAAAGCCACGGCUAACUACGUG